rnacentral:misc_RNA from 1 species
UGGAGAUGGCAGGACCAUGGAAUGGC